rnacentral:lncRNA from 1 species
AAAACACUUGACUGUUCUAAUAAAGAGCUGGACAGCCAAUAGCAAGGCAGGAGAAAGGAUAGGUGGGGCUGGCAGGCAGAAAGAAUAGAGAUCGGAUAGCAAGAAAAGAAGGCGAGGAGGACAUCAGGGGCUAGUCACGCAGCUACACAGCCAGCCACUGAGUGAGAAGUAAAGAAAGGUAUACAGAAAUGGAGUAAAGCAAAAACCCAGAGGCAGAAGAUAGACAGGAUAAUUUAAGAAAAGCUGGAGAGAAAUAAGCCAGGGUCGAGCAUUCGUAAGAUUUCUCUGUGUAGCUUUGGAACCUAUCCUGGCACUCCCUCUGUAGACCAGGCUGGCCUUGAACUCCCAGAAAUCCACCUGCCUCUGCCUCCCUAGUGCUGGGAUUAAAGGUGUGUGCCACCAACGCCUGGCAUACUAACAAUCUUGCAUCCCUGGGAUGAAGCCAACUUGGUUAUGGUCUUCGCAUUUGGUUGGAUUUUGUAUUUCUCCCAAG